AUGAGAAAUCCCAGACACAAACAAGUGACUUCAUCUGGAGUGCAACCGAAGAAACACAAGACGCUUUCCAUGCUGAAGCGUGAAACAGGCCUCAGCCUGCUCUCGUGCCCUGGCAAGGUCACUAAGAGAAGAAUAAACCAGUGCACAGGUGGGGUAUGCAGUCGCCCACUGGGAGGCACAGAGGAUGCGGCGACGAAUCUCAGUUUUGUUUCCGUUUCCUGCCCUCGACCAAGAUUGCAGAAUCUGAUUCUGAGACCCGCGAGGGGCCGACGGGCAGAGAGACGGCCAUCCACACACCGAUGCACCUCAGCGUGGACCGUGGAAGCAACGAGAACAGGACCGAGGCAGCCAGGUACAGGGCAGAGGACAGGCGCGCUGGCUCUGCAGAAUCCGUUCAGAGCGCAGUCAGACCCCUGGAGCGCUUCCAGGGUCGUGCAGGUCGUGCAGGUCAGGGCCAGCUGGCGUAUCACAGGGACCAGGCCGGGCCGUGACAGGUCGCACAGCACCGGUCCCAUCUGAAAGAGGCCACUCGGAAUCAGCUGCACCCGGGGUGGUCACGGUCACGCGGUCCAGUGUGGUCGCUUUCCGAUUUUGCAGGAGUAGCUGGAGUCUAAUGCGUGUGCCCAGGAGCCACUGGGCAGGCGGGGCACAAGCGGACCUCAGACAAGCAGGCAGCUCACCCUGUGACCCUGCAACGCUGGUCCUCUCCGUUCAUAGGGUGAUGUCCUCGGAUGCCCUUGGGCGGGACGUCCUCUGAGGAACCGAUCAAGCUCAGGGCAGGAAGCUCCUACACUGCCUCGGGGAGGCGCGGUGUGGGCCGGGUUCCGCUCUGAGGAGGUGACACUGUGCUGUGCUCCUGGGCAGUGUGAAGGCGCGGGCCAUGGCGUCUCCUGGCCAAGCCGAGUGAGGCACUCUUCAGUCAUGCUUACGCGACGCUGUUCCGGGUCUGCUCACCAAGCUGGUCCUACCUUUCGGCAUGUAUUCUGGAUGUUUGGUAUCCGAACUUGAACUCACCGAGGACCCCUUUGUGGAGCCUUAUCCUGUCUUUGAUCCUCAAAGAGCUCGUCACCAGCUGAGACCCCGUCUCCUGGGCAGUGUUGAGCUGACGGCUGCAGCUCACGCUCACAUCUCUGCCCAGUGUGCUGUUAUUUCCUUCUGAACAAGGGCUCGGGAACACCCAGCCUCCGUGGUUACACCUGCAGGUGCCUGGACUUCCGUGGGCACCAUCGCCCGAGGAUCCCUGACUGUGUUCACCAGAUUCUGAGCCCGUUGUAGUGCAGCCUUGCCAUUCAGACGGUGGGGAGGCAGCAGUGGGGAUGAGACCACCGUGCGGCGGGGAGAUGGGGGCCCCGAGCAGAGCUGUCAGCCCCUCUGAGAGCUGCCCGGCCCAGGAGAGGGUUCCCGGGCUGGGGGGAGCCAGAGUGACGGGGAGAGGCGGAGGCGCGUGCAGGGUUGGCCGUGUGUGCUUUGCCUUUGACUGUGGACGCGCGUUCCCCAGCCUGCACCUUGCUGGCCACAG
rnacentral:lncRNA from 1 species